ACACAUGCAAGUCGAACGGUAACAGGAAGCAGCUUGCUGCUUYGCUGACGAGUGGCGGACGGGUGAGUAAUGUCUGGGAAACUGCCUGAUGGAGGGGGAUAACUACUGGAAACGGUGGCUAAUACCGCAUAACGUCGCAAGACCAAAGAGGGGGACCUUCGGGCCUCUUGCCAUCAGAUGUGCCCAGAUGGGAUUAGCUUGUUGGUGAGGUAACGGCUCACCAAGGCGACGAUCCCUAGCUGGUCUGAGAGGAUGACCAGCCACACUGGAACUGAGACACGGUCCAGACUCCUACGGGAGGCAGCAGUGGGGAAUAUUGCACAAUGGGCGCAAGCCUGAUGCAGCCAUGCCGCGUGUAUGAAGAAGGCCUUCGGGUUGUAAAGUACUUUCAGCGGGGAGGAAGGUGUUGYGGUUAAUAACCGCAGCAAUUGACGUUACCCGCAGAAGAAGCACCGGCUAACUCCGUGCC
rnacentral:rRNA from 1 species